rnacentral:tRNA from 1 species
GGGCCGGUCGUCUAGUUUGGUUAGGACACAGCCCUUACGAGGCUGAGGUCGCCGGUUCAACUCCGGCCCGGCCCA